rnacentral:rRNA from 1 species
AGUGAACGCUGGCGGUAGGCCUAACACAUGCAAGUCGAACGGCAGCACAGUAAGAGCUUGCUCUUACGGGUGGCGAGUGGCGGACGGGUGAGGAAUACGUCGGAAUCUACUUUUUCGUGGGGGAUAACGUAGGGAAACUUACGCUAAUACCGCAUACGACCUACGGGUGAAAGCAGGGGAUCUUCGGACCUUGCGCGAUUGAAUGAGCCGAUGUCGGAUUAGCUAGUUGGCGGGGUAAAGGCCCACCAAGGCGACGAUCCGUAGCUGGUCUGAGAGGAUGAUCAGCCACACUGGAACUGAGACACGGUCCAGACUCCUACGGGAGGCAGCAGUGGGGAAUAUUGGACAAUGGGCGCAAGCCUGAUCCAGCCAUACCGCGUGGGUGAAGAAGGCCCUCGGGUUGUAAAGCCCUUUUGUUGGGAAAGAAAAGCAGCAGGUUAAUACCCCGCUGUUCUGACGGUACCCAAAGAAUAAGCACCGGCUAACUUCGUG